CUAGAGUAAGAGACAGACUAAUUAGGAUCUAUUUUAUAAAGUGGGAAUGACAUCUGGCAAAGCAAUAUUCCUCUAUGAAGAAUUGAGAUUAUAGGCAAUGGCUAACGUUCUUUGCAUUAUAAUUCUAAAGUUGAUAGGAAACUAGAGGUAUGUGAACUCGAUUUGAGAUGCCUUUUGUUCAGCAAUACGUUUGAGUUGGGUUAGGG
rnacentral:lncRNA from 1 species